rnacentral:rRNA from 1 species
AGAGUUUGAUCCUGGCUCAGGAUGAACGCUAGCUACAGGCUUAACACAUGCAAGUCGAGGGGAAACGAUAGAGAAAGCUUGCUUUUUCUAGGCGUCGACCGGCGCACGGGUGAGUAACGCGUAUCCAACCUGCCCACCACUUGGGGAUAACCUUGCGAAAGUAAGACUAAUACCCAAUGAUAUCUCUAGAAGACAUCUGAAAGAGAUUAAAGAUUUAUCGGUGAUGGAUGGGGAUGCGUCUGAUUAGCUUGUUGGCGGGGUAACGGCCCACCAAGGCGACGAUCAGUAGGGGUUCUGAGAGGAAGGUCCCCCACAUUGGAACUGAGACACGGUCCAAACUCCUACGGGAGGCAGCAGUGAGGAAUAUUGGUCAAUGGACGCAAGUCUGAACCAGCCAAGUAGCGUGCAGGAAGACGGCCCUCUGGGUUGUAAACUGCUUUUAGUUGGGAAUAAAGUGCACCACGAGUGGUGUUUUGUAUGUACCAUCAGAAAAAGGACCGGCUAAUUCCGUGCCAGCAGCCGCGGUAAUACGGAAGGUCCAGGCGUUAUCCGGAUUUAUUGGGUUUAAAGGGAGCGUAGGCCGGAGAUUAAGCGUGUUGUGAAAUGUAGAUGCUCAACAUCUGCACUGCAGCGCGAACUGGUUUCCUUGAGUACGCACAAAGUGGGCGGAAUUCGUGGUGUAGCGGUGAAAUGCUUAGAUAUCACGAAGAACUCCGAUUGCGAAGGCAGCUCACUGGAGCGCAACUGACGCUGAAGCUCGAAAGUGCGGGUAUCGAACAGGAUUAGAUACCCUGGUAGUCCGCACGGUAAACGAUGGAUGCCCGCUGUUGGUCUGAAUAGGUCAGCGGCCAAGCGAAAGCAUUAAGCAUCCCACCUGGGGAGUACGCCGGCAACGGUGAAACUCAAAGGAAUUGACGG